rnacentral:rRNA from 1 species
GACGAACGCUGGCGGCGUGCUUAACACAUGCAAGUCGAACGGAAAGGCCCUGCUUUUGUGGGGUGCUCGAGUGGCGAACGGGUGAGUAACACGUGAGUAACCUGCCCUUGACUUUGGGAUAACUUCAGGAAACUGGGGCUAAUACCGGAUAGGAGCUCCUGCUGCAUGGUGGGGGUUGGAAAGUUUCGGCGGUUGGGGAUGGACUCGCGGCUUAUCAGCUUGUUGGUGGGGCAGUGGCUUACCAAGGCUUUGACGGGUAGCCGGCCUGAGAGGGUGACCGGCCACAUUGGGACUGAGAUACGGCCCAGACUCCUACGGGAGGCAGCAGCGGGGAAUAUUGCACAAUGGGCGGAAGCCUGAUGCAGCAACGCCGCGUGCGGGAUGACGGCCUUCGGGUUGUAAACCGCUUUCGCCUGUGACGAAGCGUGAGUGACGGUAAUGGGUAAAGAAGCACCGGCUAACUACGUG